UUUUUUUUUGACUCUUAUUAUCUGUCUAUAUUUAUAAAAUUGUUUUUGUUUUAGCAAAUCUAAUUUAAUUUGAAUGUCAUUUGUGAUGAUUCACCAUUGUGUUUUCUCCUCAAAAGAAUUGAUUGUUAAAAACAUAUACAUUAUAAUGUUGCCCAAAAUUUAAGUAAUUACUGUUGUCUACUAUAAAUUAUCUUAGUAAUGAUAUAUAUUAUAGACUAUUUUAUUUUCUUUGAGGUCCAGUUAAAAUUGGUACUUCUAACCCAAUAUUGUGUAACUAGUAUUAGGUAGUAGUACUACUAUAUAAUUAUAUAUAUGUACAAAUUCAAAUACAUAUUUAGGAGGCUCAAAAUAAAAAAAAAACUUGCAAAGAUAUUGUAUUCAUUUAUUUUCUUUUUUUUCUCUUUUUCAAAAAUUGUGAUUAUUUUAUAAAUCACUAAUAGUUUUGGAAUCUGUUCAAAAUAUUGUGUCUGAUCAAAUUGCUUUGACUUCAAAUGUGCAAAUCAAUGUAUAUACCCCCUCUAUAUGAAACUAUAUGUAUACUAUAAUAUUAAUUAGUAAAAGAUGAUUAUAAUGUGUAUUUGUUUAAAAACAAAAUGCUUAAUAAAUAUUAUUGAAUAUUUUUUAAUUUUUGCAGCAAGAAAACUUACUAUGAAACCAAGAAAAUUGUCUACUCUUUUGAAACGGGUAGAGGAAUACCCAUUAAUUUUUGUACGGAACUAAUGGAUAACAUCCUGCCGUCCCACAUUAAAUGUGAGGUCAAGAAUUGGUAAAUUUACCCCAAUAUGGAGUCAUAGCUUUCCAUACAGCUGAUCCAAAUGAGUCACCUAACCUGUUAUAGCUUAUUGGUUGUCUCUCCACUCCCAAGGAAUAAAUAACAAAACCCGAAUCAGUGAAUCAUAAUAAUUGUAUAUAUUUGUAAAUUUGAAAUAUUUAGAAUUAUUACCUAGUUAGGUUAGGUGAACACUCUUAACAAAAAUUAUUUUUAAUAUUCUGUAAUAUUGUUUUGGAUAUUUUAAUGAUUUUAAAUGUAUGAAUGAAUAUUUAUUUUAUACAGUUUUAAACUUUAAGCACAUACUUUAUUCUGUUAAAAAUUUAUGCAAUCAAAUAGGUAUAUAAAAACUAUUAUACAUGUAUUAAUUCAACUAAUUGAUAAGAAAAGUUAAUUAAAUUGUGAUAGCUUGACUGUCUAAUAUUUUACUAUUUUAGUACCAC
rnacentral:lncRNA from 1 species